UGUCACCCAGAGCCCCAGACUCUGGGGAGAGAGACAGUCAUUCACCAUCAGCCCCAUGGACUUGUCAAGAUUACUUUCAGGGGGCAGUGGUACAGCAGACUUCUCCACAGUGCCCUGCCAAUGAGCUUCAACCCUGAACUGAAGAGAAAACAUUUAACGGUGUGUGAAGGAGCUUUCAUUAUUGUCAUUUCCACAUAAGCCCAGAUCCUGCAGUUGACUGUGUGUGUGGGUGGGACUCUAUUAAAGUCAAUGAGGCUCCACACUGGGGAUGGGUUCUACCUGUGAGAAGUCAGUUGCAUGAUCAGGGCCCUAGUGCGACGCCUCAGGGUGCAUUCUGGAGCCUGCUUACCAAGAUAAUUUUAUGAACAUCCUUCUUGAAUUGUGGACACCAGAACUAUACACACUAUUCCAGCAAUGUUUUCAUCAGUGCCAAAUACAGAGACAAACUUCCCAAGGAGCACCAUGAAGAGCUGAAAUCCAUCAUGGAAGAUGGACAACUGCCUGCCUGCACUUCUCUAUAGGCUGCCCUGGAUAUGUCUGACACCACGGUCACUGCAAGAAUCAUGAGGAGAUCACCAUGGCUUCAGUUCUCAAGGAUCCCAGGGAAGUCCAAACAACAAUCAAGGACCUCCCAUUUGAAGGUCACCUUUGUCUACAGUGCUGAUACAUAUAAUAAUGUUUUAUGGCUCUCAUAAGCACAAGGCAUACAAACUCUAUGUCUAAGGUACUCUGAAAUUGCAUGGACUUACUGCCAACCACUGUAAAGUCAUGGCUACCACUGAACCUUGCUAGAGCCUGGAGCUGAUGCAUAAGGGCUCAAGUAUAUGACUUUCAUUAUAUGUCAUGGGUUUGUAAUUUUUUUUGCACAACCAUACUGUUAAAUAAUAAUAAUUCCUGCCACUUACUGGCACAAUUCUUGACCAGAAUCACAGUAGCUGUGAUGUUGCAGCAGAUCAGCGGUCCACUGACACAAAUUUUAGAAGUCUAAAAAGGGGAAUGAAAGGGGAGAUUAAUUUGAAAUUAGUCAUGUGCUGAAUGUCCCCCUUAUGCUUAUUUAGCUGAGGUAAUCACAAGAAAAAAAGUAACUCUUUUAAAAAAUAAAGUUUGUAUUUUUUAGAAAACUCCCAGAGUAUUAUCUUGUAUGAACUCUGAACAUUUUGUAUUUUAACAUAAAAGUAAUUAAAAAUUACACACUGUACAUAUGGAAAUACAGGUUUGAUCCUCAUAAUGAAUUAAUACAAUUUAGCUUUCUUUAAUGUGUAUGCUACAGGGCGGAUUCUAAAUUCCAGUGUAUUUUUUACAUUUAAAACAAAUGAGACUAUUUAUGAGCGUAGGGAUAUAUAUGUGUAAUACAGAAAGUAUGCAUAUUUUAUUUACUGAACACUAGCGCCUUCACACAACCUAUUUUUUGUUGACAUUUGUUUAUUUUCUCUGGGAGAAUGACAGAUCUGCAGCACAACAUAAUACCAAUCCAAAGGCCAGAGUUUCAGAGCAGACUGGAUUUCAGGUAAAUAGAAACUGAUCCCAUAGUGACAGUGAUGGCCCCACACUUCCUGCUUCAGCUUUUGAAAGACCUCCCCACCAGCUAAGUCAUUAAAUCACUUCUUGUUUCCAGACACUGACAACUUUGGAAUUUAUUUUACACUGCUACUAUUCAGACUACUUACAAGGACAGAAUGAACUGUUCUAGGCCCAGAUUCUCUGAUGCACCAAAGCUCUGGUAAAUGUAGCAGAAUUGGGGAGCCAUCCAGUAGCUGGUUAUAGCUCUCUGAUCUCUGCCCAGCCAUGUCUCUGGUACAAGUUUGAGCACCCUAGGGGCAGCUCUAAUUUACCUAAGCUGAUAUUUAUCCCUAAUUGACUGUCCACCAGCUGGAGUGCAGUGAUCUUUAGGCAUAUUUCCUAGGAUGGUGUUGCAAAAGUAACCUAUGAUGGCUCUUUGCCUGCUGGGACUUACCCACAUCAAGGGAAUCCUCAGCAAGUGAGAUAAAGGGCAGUUUUCAUCUUUUUGUCCCAAUUCUCACCCGUUUUUUUUUAAUCAAAUUAGGAAUUAUGAAAUGCUUGGAAAAGAGCACAUUAGAUUUCUUAUGAAGUGUGAUAUGGAUUUAUUGACUUUGCAGUGGCUUUCCUCCCACCCGCCUUUGAGUACUACCCUUACAUGGCUGUGAUUACGUGGACCUGGCAAAUGCCACAAUGAUCUAAGAAUGUGACACAUCCAGGAUUCCAUGCUGAGGUAAUUUUUUCCAGUUGUCCCUUCUCGUAUUCUGUCUCAAUACUUUUUCAGCCAUUGUCUAGUCUUUGAAUAUGUUUGCCUCUCACACUCAGAUGCAAAACCAUGUCAUAGGGAAAAUGCCCCAAGGAGUGCAGCGUGUGGCUUUGUUGGUGAAUAUGGGUUGGUCCACACAAAAAAACCCAGAACCCUGCUACCCUUGUAAUUUGAGUCUGUUAUUUCUGAUAAAGGGCAGUAAUGGAUGUUUACCUAUAUGGACUCUAUUUGAAAAGUUUCCCUUUUCUGCUGGUACUAUGCAACUAUUCAUUAGAAAACGAGAUUCAUAGAGGAUGUGAACGAAGUGCAUAGAAUUCAGAGAGAAAAAGGUGGAUGGCACAAAACUGUUCAAUAGGUGAACGGCCUCCACAUCAAGAGAGGACAAACAAAAA